rfam:Medicago truncatula strain A17 chromosome 5, whole genome shotgun sequence.
GUGGGUACAAGGAAUCCACUUUAUUAAACACACUAACCAAAAAACUGUAAUUUCUAAGAUAUGUUUCAAAUUAAGGUGUUUUUGGUUAGUGUGCUGAAUAUAGUAGAUUCAUUGUACCCA